GACACUUGGAUUUUUCUCAACUUAUACUUUAGUGCUAUAUAGAGGUGUUAAAAUGACCACUCUGGAAGCUGAAGUCUCCUCUUUGCUCAGCAGUGGACAGAAGACAGGAUAAUCCUGUCUUUGCUUCGUUCAGAACCGCUGCAGAAUUCGUCCUCUGAUUUUUCUCCCUGAAAUUAGACUGUAGUGAUAUGCUUCAGACUUCAGAGGAGCCUAAAGGACUGUGGAGAUGAGGGCAGUGAAUGAGCAGCUGCAUGGUACCUGAUGUGUCUGGGGCUAAACCACAACAGAACUAUGAAUAAUUCACCCUUAAGCUGCCAGCCAUAUCCACCUGAGCCACUUCAACCCUAGCAGCCUGAUCCACCUUCUGGAUCUUGUUUUGUUCUCCAGUAUCCUGGGUUAACCCACAACAAUGUGACAAAAUCUAGUAUUUGGACACAAGGUGAGUUCCCUGCAGGAAAGCCACUGAGCAGAACACAUACAACUCAAGUGGAAGAUUGCUGUGCUCCAGUUUUCUGCCACCUCUACACAAUGGAUGCAGGAUUCCCUCUGUGUGUACCACAGGCACCUUCCAACCCCACUUCACACUCUUUUCAUCCACCUUCUGGCUACCACAGAAAUGCAUGAAACCUGUAUCCAAAAAUCAUGCCAUUGUGAUGACUUCUGGAUUCCAAGAUAAGCACAUACAACUUUCCUGAACUUGGUACCUUUUGGGUAUUUUCAAGUAUUCUCCCAGCUGCUUCUGCUGACCUCUGAGUAUGAAAACAGUUUCAGGCAGCAGACACUCUGGAUGCCUCUCCUCGGGUUUAAAGGCUUCAGUAAUGGCCUUUGUGUUAAUUCCAUGCAGUACGUAUCACAGAAGUGAGAUGAGAGCAUUAGCAAUGGAGGCUGACUUGAAUCUACGUCAGUACUACAACACUUGAACUUGGUUUCAUCUAGUGCUGAUGUACUGAAGAGCGCCUGUUCCUUGGCAGCUGCAUGGUCUUGUCACCUUUCACUUAUCUUCCCAGCAGUGUUGUGUCCUUUGUCACGCUGAACUGCCGUUUCUGGAAAUGUCACCUCCUCAAGCAGAACAAUUAUGGGUAUAAUGUAUCAGUGCCAAGAAUGAGUGAUUCAGUAAUUCACUGGUGCUUGAAAAUGUCAGUUCUAGAAAUACUCAUGCUUUCCUUAAGUUCGAUUGUGGCUCAGGCAUGUUAGUCCAAAAAGAAGGGACUCGAAAAGUGAGAGAAACUUUGGAAAUACAGAAAAUUCUCUGUCCUUGGCUUCCAUCACUAUCUAAGCCUUAAAAAUACAAAAUACUAGAAUACUUGCAGAACAUUUUGCUUUUGCUUUUGAAGAGUGAAAAUGAGCUAAAUUUCAAUUUUUAGUUUUUUAAUCACAAAGGUCAUUUGACUGCAGGCAGGUUGUUUACGAGACUGAAGCUCAUUGCUACCAAAGUGAGUGAUUCAAAUAACAUAAGAUCAAACCUGCUCGUUUAUUUUAUAUUUCAACUAGUUUAGAUUGUAAUGGUAAUUUUCUUUCCUUGAAACUUUGAAAUCCUUUUGCAUUAAGAAAUUAAAUUUUAAAGGGAAGAUAUAGUCAGUGGUCCACAUUUUAGCUUUCAGUAUGACUGUUAAAAAUAAAAAUAUAACGAUAAAAAAAUGCCUCUGUAUUUUCUUUCUAACUUGAGGGGAGGGAAGGGAAAGAAAAGUCAAUACUUGGCUGGAAUCAUGAGCAGCUUGUUGGCUGAGUAAAUCAGUCAGGAGCCCUGCAGCUGGUCAGCUU